rnacentral:rRNA from 1 species
UACGGAGGGUGCAAGCGUUAUCCGGAUUCACUGGGUUUAAAGGGUGCGUAGGCGGGCAGGUAAGUCCGUGGUGAAAUCUCUGAGCUUAACUCAGAAACUGCCAUGGAUACUAUUUGUCUUGAAUAUUGUGGAGGUAAGCGGGAUAUGUCAUGUAGCGGUGAAAUGCUUAGAUAUGACAUAGAACACCAAUUGCGAAGGCAGCUUACUACACAGUAAUUGACGCUGAGGCACGAAAGCGUGGGGAUCAAACAGG